CCAAAAAUCUAGCCUUAAUUAACCUAAUGACUUACUUGCAAUUUUACCCGCAAACCAAAAUAUUCCAAGAACCUAGUAAAGAAGAUUGAAAACUGAAUUAGAGCUAUUAAAGUACCGCAAGGGAAAGAUGAAAUAAUAAUGAAAACUCAAGCACAAAAAAGUAGAGCUUCACCCUCGUACCUUUUGCAUCAUGAUUUAACUAGUCUAACCAAGCAAAAAGACUUUAAGUUUGACACCCCGAAACUAAGCGAGCUACUUCGAGGCAGCUAAAAGAGCCAACCCAUCUCUGUUGCAAAAGAGUGGGAAGACCCCCAAGUAGAAGUGACAGACCUACCGAGCUUAGUGAUAGCUGGUUACUCAAUAAAAGAAUUUUAGUUCAGCCUAAAGACACACCAAUAAACCAAAAAUAACCUCUUUAGAGCUAUUCAAAUAAGGAACAGCUUAUUUGAAACAGGACACAGCCUACACCGAUGGGUAUUGGCCUCCCCCCAACUAAGUAGGCUUAAGAGCAGCCACCUUUAUAAAUGCGUCACAGCUUGAUUACCCCAAUUCCCCCACAUCCCACACAACACACAGAACCCUCCACCACCAUUGAGUAACUCUAUAUUAAUAUAGAAAAUUUUAUGUUAAAACUAGUAACAAGAAGCAGGCCUUCUCCUAUAUACAAACAUAUGCCAGAAAGGACAACCCACUGGCAAUUAACGGCCCUAACCCUAAUGACACCCUAACAAGAAAAACUCAAUUUUAAAACCGUUAACCUAACACAAGAGUAUAUCAAGAAAGAUUAAAAGGGAGAGAAGGAACUCGGCAAACUCAGAUCCCGCCUGUUUACCAAAAACAUCGCCUCUUGGUAUACAAUAAGAGGUCCAGCCUGCCCAGUGACUCAUGUUAAACGGCCGCGGUAUACUAACCGCGCGAAGGUAGCACAAUCACUUGCCUCUUAAAUGGAGGCCAGUAUGAAAGGCAUUACGAGGAUUAAACUGUCUCCCCCCCCCAAUCAGUGAAACUAAUCUCCCUGUGAAAAAGCAGGGAUAACCCCAUAAGACGAGAAGACCCUAUGGAGCUUUAAACAACAUAACAAUUGCCGCACACCCCGACUUCCGGAAGCCCCACCACACCGCAUAUUGAUUAUAAGUUUUUGGUUGGGGUGACCGCGGAGAAAAAAAUACCCUCCACAAUGAAAUACCUAAAGUUUAAGCCAAGAGCAAACAACUCCACGAAUCAACAAAUUGACAUCAAUUGACCCAAGUAUUUGAUCAAUGAACCAAGUUACCCUAGGGAUAACAGCGCAAUCUACUUUAAGAGUACAUAUCGACAAGUAGGCUUACGACCUCGAUGUUGGAUCAGGAUAUCCCAGUGGUGCAGCCGCUACUAAAGGUUCGUUUGUUCAACGAUUAAUAUCCUACGCGAUCUGAGUUCAGACCGGAGCAAUCCAGGUCGGUUUCUAUCUAUGAAGAGCAUUCCCUAGUACGAA
rnacentral:rRNA from 1 species